CAUUCCAGAGGUUAAUUACAGGUCUAACCUGAAUAAAAAAAAAAAAAAAAAAGCUAACACUGAAUGUGACUUUCUCUUGAAAAAAUCUUGACAACAGAAAACAUUUUGUACUGGCAAGGUAAUGUUUUAGGUGACCUCACAAGUCUUUUCCACCCCUAGCAUCUGUGCUUUCGAGAAUUUCCAAGGUAACCAGUACUUCAAAUAGGCUACAGGAGCCAAGAGGAAGCUGGGUAUUUUCUUAAGAAAUGUUCCUGUUUUAUUCUCACCAAAUCCAGAUCUUCUGUGGCCUCAAAACAUGCAUAACCUAGAGAAGAUACUGAAUAGAAAAG
rnacentral:lncRNA from 1 species